rnacentral:rRNA from 1 species
GAUAGAUAUUAAUUUAAAAUAUUUAAUCUAAGAAUAUAAGGGUAGAGCUUUAUCAUUCAAUAAUAAAUGAAAUAUAAGUUAAUAAGUAUUUAUUUUGAUAAUUAGGUUUUUUAGUGGUCAUAUUUUUAAAGUGUUUUAACUAAUAUAAUUGAAUAAUUUAUUUAUUAGAUUUUAUUAAAUUAAUAAUAUGUUUUUUAAAAUGGAUAAAUAUUAGAAAUAAUGAAAAUAUUAGUAGAAUUAAUAUAUGAGAAAAAAGAAAAGUAUUAAAAGUAAAAUAUGAAAAUAGUUAAGAAAAAAAUAGAGGAACUCGGCAAAUAAGGUUCUUGCCUGUUUAACAAAAACAUGUCUCUAUGAAGUUAUAUGAAGUCUGACCUGCCCAUUGAAAUUUAUUAAAAGGCCGCGGUAUAUUAACUGUGCAAAGGUAGCAUAAUUAGUAGUUUUUUAAUUGAAGGCUUGUAUGAAAGGUUGGACAAGGGAUAAGCUGUCUUUAUUUUUAUUUUUGAAUUUGUCUUUUAAGUGAAAAGACUUAAAUAAGUUUAAGGGACGAUAAGACCCUAUAAAUCUUUAUAUUAGUUUAAUUUUAUUUUAAAUUUUAAUGUUUAAAAGAGUAAAGUUAAUAUAGUAUUGUAUUGGGGUGAUAGGAAUAAUUAGUAAACUGUUCGAAGGUAUAAACAAAAAUAUUUGAUUAUAAUUAUUAGUAGAUCCUUAGUGGAGAUUACAAGUUUAAGUUACUUUAGGGAUAACAGCGUUAUUUUUUUUGAGAGUUCUAAUCGAAAAAGAAGUUUGCGACCUCGAUGUUGAAUUAAAAUUUCUUUGUGGUGUAGUAGUUACAAGAGAGAGUCUGUUCGACUUUUAAAAUUUU